rnacentral:rRNA from 1 species
AUGUGUGUAUUGUAGGAGAGAGGCGGUAUGGGCUUCAGAGGCUUGCAUUGUUUUAAUUUGGCUCUCCUUGCAAAGCAGUGCUAGAGGCUUCUAAGUGAACCAUAAUCCUUAUGUGCCAGACUCUUGAGAGCAAAGUAUUUUACGGAGGGUGGUCUUCUUGAUUGCAACCUUAAGAAGGGCAACACUUAUACUUCGCAGAGUCUUUGGUGUGGUAUUCAGACUUUCAAGAGAGGGAAUAUGUGGCGAGUAGGAGAUGGGUCACUUAUUAAUAUAUGGAAGGACCCAUGGAUAUCGAGCAGCCCACUCAGGAGGUUAUGA